CCUACGGGGGGCAGCAGUGGGGAAUAUUGGGCAAUGGGCGCAAGCCUGACCCAGCAACGCCGCGUGAAGGAAGAAGGCUUUCGGGUUGUAAACUUCUUUUAUGAGGGACGAAAGAAAUGACGGUACCUCAUGAAUAAGCCACGGCUAACUACGUGCCAGCAGCCGCGGUAAUACGUAGGUGGCAAGCGUUAUCCGGAUUUACUGGGUGUAAAGGGCGUGUAGGCGGGACUGCAAGUCAGAUGUGAAAAUUAUGGGCUCAACCCAUAACCUGCAUUUGAAACUGUAGUUCUUGAGUGAUGGAGAGG
rnacentral:rRNA from 1 species